rnacentral:tRNA from 1 species
GCGUCGGUGGUUCAGUGGUAGAAUACUCGCCUGCCACGAGGGUGGCCCGGGUUCGAUUCCCGGCCGACGCA